rnacentral:lncRNA from 1 species
CUGAAAUUAUGAUAAUAACAAAGUUUGUAUUUAGGAAUGUCCCUUUAUGUCGCGCUGUACAAUGUAGUACAUUAUUAGCAGAAAUUUAUUGGUCUUCGUUCAAUAUUAUUAUCGACGUUCAGGUUUUCGUGUGGAGGUUAGCAGGUUUAACCGUAAAGACGGGUUCGUUUUGUCAGUGGCGAUUACCUGUGAGCCCAAGCGAACCCAUUUCUACCCUUGCAUGCUCACGUACAGAAAGCCGUUACUAUAUAAAAGAUGUUAGUAAGCGCCGAAUGCAAAGUAUUUACGCAGUGGUUUUCACGUAAGACAUUUAAGCAAGUGCAUUGUUGUGUUCGAUAAUCACUCAACCGUCACAUUGUAACGGCGGCCUGAAGAAUCUGGCAAAGUUUGAGGGAUUCGUAUUGGAAUGGAGUUGGAGGGAAUUAUUUACGUUGACCCAACUAAAAUCGUAAGCAAUGGAUAUGUAUGGAGCAAGUGCAAGUUUUAACAAAUCGGGCACACAUUUGUGUUAGCGAAUAUAUGCUAUCGCAAGCGCUACUCGCCCUUGAUAUUAGAUGUCCAUCAAUCACGAACUGUUUAAACGGAAACUGGCCCUGCUACAAGCGGGUAUUAGCAUACGUUCAACUGUCUUCAGAGCGCAGAUCGACAGAAUGUGUCAGCGAGCGGGGCCAUCAAUUCUACGAAGAUUGAGGAUCUAUAUUCUCACGGUUAAAUCAAGGUGAUUAGGUGACGCCUAUCUCUCCCACGGAUUUUCGCACUUUGGCGAUAGGCGAUAACUGCGUAGACUACGAUAAGCUGACAUGUACGGCUGUUUAACAAAAUUUAUCCAAGACUUUUUCGAAAUUCGAAAUUACGCAGCGUCGUAAGUUCGGAUACAUAUCGACGGUAUUUUCCAGCUGCUCUGGCAUUGAAUUAUACGACGGGAAUGUAUAAUACGACUCGUGUGAGGUAUUUAAAGCGUAACUGAACAACAAUGUAGUUUUCGGCAUUCGUCCGUUUCAUGUACCACAUAUUGCGCAUAAUAGUGCACCCGUAAAGUACGGAUUAUUUUUCUACGGACACCCCAGCUAGUAUGCAAUUUUCUAAGAGGGGUCUAGUUUUAAUAGCCUGCUGUUACCAUUGUAUGCUGUUUUGCCCCAUUAUUAUCAUCCCUUGUCGUAUGUCGAUUUUCCCGAUCUUUAACCGGACGUAUUGGUUUCCAAUCGUACCCAUCUAUACGAAAUCCAUUCUUUCCUUUACCUCAUUCCUUGGGAAACCUUUCGCUGACCACCCGGUUGAGUUCCCAAUAAGACUAAUUGUUAUAAUUGUUAUUUAUCGACCAGAGAAAAUCAUUCCUAUGAUACAUACAGGAUUUACUAAAAAAAAUCGCACAAUUCUAAAAUUCCGUAGGUCGUAUCCAUGGAGUUGCCGAAAUGUUUUGUUGUUACGUAGAUGCACUCUUUUCGGCCGUAUCUUUUGUUUACGUUCACAGAAACGUUGCUUAUACUAUUGCGUGGCAAAAAGAGAACAAAGAGGAUUUGCAUUAAAUUUUAUUUUAAGAACAGAAAAAGCAUACCACCGUAUUGAAGAUGUUUGCAAAUGGUAGAAACCUUUUUCCCUUUCUCAAGGGAACCGUGAAGAAAUCGAAGAUGACGAAUAUCUUUACGUCUCAGGGAAUCAAGAAUUGACGACAACGUCUGACAGGUAGAAGAAAUCAUUAUGAACGAUUAUCGGAUCGAUAUCCAAGAGGUUGAUGACGAUAUUAGGUUACCAUUUAAUUCAUGCUCAACAGGCUUUUCGACUGUUUUGGGCAUGAACUAAGAGACUGCAAAAUUGUUGAAUUCCGACCGAAAACAUCCCGUGCCAAAUAAAGCUUGCUCAAAAAUUAUCAAACGAAGUUAACGAGGAGUCAGAGCUGUGCAAACUGGUAAUGGGACAUGGCAAUAUGUUUAUGGUAUCGAAACUAAAUACCAAUCGCCCAAUGAAAGCUUUCUGAAGAGCCGAGGCUGAAGAAAGUUAUACUGUCAAGAACUUUAAAAGAGUGGCGCUUUGAUAACGUUGGGAACAUUAAGUCAGAAUCAUUAAGGGAAACAAAAUAUGUUCAAGAAAGCCCGUUGUAAAAUUGUUUUCUGGAUUCGAAUGAGCGCUUGCACAAAUGUGUAGACGCGGGUAGAGGCUAU